rnacentral:rRNA from 1 species
UACGUAGGGACCAAGCGUUGUUCGGAUUUCCUUGGCGUAAAGGGCGCGUAGGCGGCGUGGCAAGUCAUCUGUGAAAUCUCCGGGCUUAACUCGGAACGGUCAGAUGAUACUGCUGUGCUAGAGUACAGAAGGGGCAAUCGGAAUUCUUGGUGUAGCGGUGAAAUGCGUAGAUAUCAGGAGGAACACCUGCGGUGUAGACGGCUUACUGGACCAUAACUGACGCUGAGGCGCGAAAGCGUGGGGAGCAAACAGG